rnacentral:rRNA from 1 species
CGGGAUGAGCUCAAAUUUAAAAUCUGGCGUCUUUCAGGCGUCCGAGUUGUAAUCUAUAGAGGCGUUUUCCGCGCCGGACCGCGUCCAAGUCUCUUGGAAUAGAGUAUCAAAGAGGGUGACAAUCCCGUACUUGACGCGACAACCGGUGCUCUGUGAUACGUUCUCAAUGAGUCGAGUUGUUUGGGAAUGCAGCUCUAAAUGGGUGGUAAAUUCCAUCUAAGGCUAAAUAUUGGCGAGAGACCGAUAGCGAACAAGUACCGUGAGGGAAAGAUGAAAAGCACUUUGGAAAGAGAGUUAAACAGCACGUGAAAUUGUUAAAAGGGAAACGAUUGAAGUCAGUCGUGUGAAAGGUAUUCAGCCGUCUCUGGCGGUGUAUUUGCCUUUCACGGGUCAACAUCAGUUUGAUCCGGUAGAAAAAGGCAGGAGGAAGGUGGCACCCUCGGGUGUGUUAUAGCCUCUUGUCAUAUGUGCCGGACCAGACUGAGGAACGCAGCUUGCCGCAAGGCCGGGGUUCGCCCACGUACAAGCUUAGGAUGUUGACAUAAUGGCUUUAAACGAC